CCACCUCUGCCCCUGUAUUUCUUUUUCUGGAACAUCCCUCUAAUGCUUGUGGAAUUGGAAACUCUACAACUAGUCUGGAAAUUAAUCUUGUUUUUUCUCAAAUAUUGAAAAUUGUUCUACCUGAAGAUCCAAUUAUGCCACACCUGAGUAUAUACCAAAAAUGUGUUCUGCCAUACCACAAGAACAUGAGCUCCACUGUGUUCAUAGUAGCUUUAUUCAUAAUAGCCAGAAACUAGAAACAACCCAGAUAUCCCUCAGCCAAUGAAUGGAUACAGAAACUGAGGUUCAUUUACAUAUUGGAACACUAUUCAGCUAUUAUAAACAAGGACAUCAUGAAAUUUGCAGGCAAAUGGUUGGAACUAGCAAAUAUCAUUCUGGAUGAAGUAAUCCAGACUCAAAAUGACAUGCAUAUAUGUACUCAUUGAUAAGUAGAUAUUAGUCAUAAAGUACUAGAAACCCAUGAUAUACUCCAUAGUGAAAGGAGAAAGAGGGCCUAAGAGAGGAUACUGGAUCUCACUUAGAAACGUUAAUAGUCAUAGAAGGCAGAGAGAGGAAGGGAAAUUUGUGGUACGGGGGUUGAGAAGAGAAUGGAGAUCAGUAUCAGGUAGAGGGAAAAACAGGAAAGAUAGCCAGACGUUCAUGAGAGUGAAUGAAAAUCUGCAACUAACAGGUUUGGGGGUUGGAGGGUAUCUAUAGGACAUGAGAGAGACAUGGGAUAAAGGAAGCACCAAAGAAUCAAUGGGGAUGACCUUAGUGGAGAUGCCUAACAAAGGUGACAAAGCACAUAAAGUGGCCACUUCCUGUAGUCAGGCAAGAUCCCAGUGGAGGGAUAAAGACACCUACCUACCAAAAACCUGUGAUCUAAAAGAGGAAAGAUGUAAAAGUGCUGAGGUAGUCCAGUGUGAUGGGACCAAAGAAUGUUGCAGAACAUUGGCUAACAGGAUGUGUAGGGCUCAGAGAGGUUUCCUCUAGAUUGUUAUGCGAUUAUGUAAUCUACUAAGUAAUCUGGGUUCAUCAAAGUCCAGUUUUGUUUGUCUCAUUCAUGAAUGCAGAAAUUGCAACACUCUCCUAACAUACAUUCCAGAAUGAUGCUUCCUGGGUCCUUAAGAAAGAGAGCAUUUCUUAGGUGGGAAAACUAAGGAAAAUCAAAGAAAAUUUAUAUGCUUCUCUAUAUGAGGUUAGAACUUUUAAAUAAACACCUUUCAAUUAAUUUUUAAACAAAAUAUUUAAUAGCAUUUGAAGUGGAAAUUUCUGGAUUUUUUAGAAUGUCAUUUAUGUUGAAUGAUGUUCUACUGGGACACAUAGGUGAAAGAAUGUUUACUGAAGCAAAUGACGUAUUGCUAUAAUAGACAAGUAAAAGAAUGCAUGGUGUUUAAAAGGAAUACAAGCAUGACCUCACAACAGUGGGAGCUGGAGCACUGGGUUGCCUUGUUCUGCCUUGCUAUUCUUUCUGACAUGUAUAUAUCGGUUCACUUUAUGUUGCUUUGCUAAGCUUCACUUGUGGUGACUUCACAGAUAGAAACUUGCCAAAGAACUUCUCAUGAGGUUUCUGUGGUUUCUGCAGACUCAAGCCAAUUGCUAAGCCUCACGAUUUCUUCUGGAUUGGGGUGCAGUCGCUGAUUCAUGUGUGGUAUCUGCUGAGUGGGUUGAAGUAACUUGCUGGAUCACAAAUGAUGCUUACCAAGUGGAUUGGUCUGCCGCUGCUGAUUCAUAUUUCGUGUUUGCUGGACUGAGAACAGCGAUGAUUACAGUUGUCCUAAAGAACCAUUUCUAAACAGAGCUACCUUUGGAAAAAUUAAACCUCAAACAUAUGGGAAGCAUUAUAUGGACCCGUCUCACACUUAGGCUGGACUUCCGGCAAGUAUGCCAAUACUGAAUGCUUCUGAUAAGCAAGAAACCAG